AAAACAUGUCUUUUUGAUAAAAAUUUAAAGUCAGGUCUGCUCACUGAAUUAUUUAAAGAGCCGCAGUAUAUUGACUGUGCAAAGGUAGCAUAAUCAAUAGUUUUUUAAUUGGAAACUAGAAUGAAAGAUUAGACGAAAAAUUAAUUUUCUUUGUUUUAAUAAAUUUAAUUUUAAAUUUAAGUGAAAAUGCUUAAAUAUAAUUAAAAGACGAGAAGACCCUAUAGAUUUUUAUUAUUGAAAUAAAUUUUUAAAUUUAAUUUAGUAAAAUAAUUUAAUUGGGGCGAUUUUAUAAUAUAGAUAACUUAAUUUUUUAAGACCAUAAAUAAUUGAAUAUUUGAUCUAAAAUUUUUAAAGAAAAGAUUAAAUUACCUUAGGGAUAACAGCGUAAUUUUAUUUAAGAGUUCAUAUCUAUAAUAAAGUUUGCGACCUCGAUGUUGAAUUAAGAUAAUAUAUUGGAGUAGAAAUUAAUAUAAUUAGUCUGUUCGACUAUUAAAUUCUUACGUGAUCUG
rnacentral:rRNA from 1 species